rnacentral:rRNA from 1 species
GAUGAACGCUGGCGGCGUGCCUAAUACAUGCAAGUCGAGCGAACGGACGAGAAGCUUGCUUCUCUGAUGUUAGCGGCGGACGGGUGAGUAACACGUGGAUAACCUACCUAUAAGACUGGGAUAACUUCGGGAAACCGGAGCUAAUACCGGAUAAUAUUUUGAACCGCAUGGUUCAAAAGUGAAAGACGGUCUUGCUGUCACUUAUAGAUGGAUCCGCGCUGCAUUAGCUAGUUGGUAAGGUAACGGCUUACCAAGGCAACGACGCAUAGCCGACCUGAGAGGGUGAUCGGCCACACUGGAACUGAGACACGGUCCAGACUCCUACGGGAGGCAGCAGUAGGGAAUCUUCCGCAAUGGGCGAAAGCCUGACGGAGCAACGCCGCGUGAGUGAUGAAGGUCUUCGGAUCGUAAAACUCUGUUAUUAGGGAAGAACAUAUGUGUAAGUAACUGUGCACAUCUUGACGGUACCUAAUCAGAAAGCCACGGCUUACUACGUG